GGGCCUGCACCCUAGGGGGCGGGCAGGGAGGAAGUAGGUGAUCUCAGAUACAAAUUGCAAACCUGUGCUAUAAAGAAAACUGAGCACCUGAGAACAUAAAGAAUAAACCUGUGGGUUCUCUGGGGAAGGGGCGUGGAGGCUGAGGGGGAUCUAGCCAAGUUACAGAUUGGGUCCGGACUGAGCUGCAGGAGUGGAACAAGCAGCCAGGAUUCGCUCCAUGGAAGGAGGUGGCCUGAGAGGAGUGCUGCAUGGGGUCCCUAAGC